rnacentral:rRNA from 1 species
UCUGGCGGCAGUAGCGCGGUGGUCCCACCCGACCCCAUGCCGAACUCAGAAGUGAAACGCCGUAGCGCCGAUGGUAGUGUGGGGUCUCCCCAUGCGAGUAGAGUAGGGAACUGCCAAGA